AAAAAAAGGUACUGAUCAAAAGCUAGUUUCUUUACUUGCAGACACCGUACUGGGUUUUCUAUUUUGUACACUCAAGCACACAACCGUGUGGUUUGUAGUAUCUUUUAGAUGUCCUCUUAAAACUUUGCAGAGCUGUGAGCUCUGAGGAGGAGGACGAGGGUGAUGUGCCACCCAAAAAGAAAAAACACAAGAGUGGGAGAUAUUUGGACAGCAGUGGGUCUGACUGACAAGAGGCAGAUGGGUCCGCGGCUAAAAGAGUCCCCGUGGAAAACUCAUUUCUAUCGUUCCGGGAGGGUUCCACAGAGCCGGAUGAAGUGGGGUGGUGGUAAAUGUGUGCGUAGUACAUUUUGUAGCCGCAUAGUCGUUUUUGUUACAUGAUAAUUAUAGUUUAUAUUAUUGCGGCUGCAAAAUGCAUGCACUGUUAAAAUCAGAAAAACCAAAUCUGAUUAUUUCCAAACUGAAACUACAAAUAACUUAAAUAAUCCCCUUAAAUUCUGGAAAACUAAAUCAAUAGCUGGAAAUAAAAAUGUGAUAGAGCUUCCACCUUGUAUUGUCAAAGACUCUCUUCAAAUCUCUGACAAGGCAGACAUGCUUGGUGGUUUUAAUGAACAUUUUAUUGCCUCUGGUUCCUUGUUUGAAUCUCAGAACAUACCUCAAGGAGCCCCUGCUCGCUCUGAAGGUCGUGUCUGGCAGGGUCAACCCUUUACUUUUAAUCCAGUAACAGUCUCAGAGGUGCAUAAAGCCCUUUAAAGUUUAGACGCAAGAAAAUCAGCAGGUCCUGACAACCUAGAGCCAUACUUUUUAAAGUUAGCAGCUGAUUUCCUCGCCUCGCCCCUGGCCCAUCUUUUCAAUCUAUCCCUGGAGACAAAUGAAAUUCCCCUUAUUUGGAAAUCUGCUUUUGUUCUCCCACUGUUGAAAGGGGGUGACCCCACUCUCCCGCAACAAUUACAGACCCAUCUCCAAAUUGUCUGUCUUAAAUAAAGUGCUGGAAUCAUUGGU